rnacentral:rRNA from 1 species
AGCGGCCGCGGUAAUUCCAGCUCCAAUAGCGUAUAUUAAAGUUGUUGCAGUUAAAAAGCUCGUAGUUGAAUUUCGGAAUCUGUUCAUCGGUCGGGCUUCACUGUCCGUACUGGUGUGGUGGAUUCCUACCUUCUGAAUAACCAGCAUGCCAUUAACUUGGUACGCUGGGGAAGCAGGACCAUUACCUUGAAAAAUUAGAGUGCUCAAAGCAGGCCAGUGCCUGAACACAUUAGCAUGGAAUAUAAAAUAGGACGGCAUGGUUCUAUUUUGUUGGUUUCCAGGAUCACCAUAAUGAUUAAUAGGGAUAGUUGGGGGCAUUAGUAUUCAAUUGUCAGAGGUGAAAUUCCUGGAUUUAUCGAAGACUAAAGCAAUUUGCCAAGGAUGUUUUCAUUA